AUCAUGUAUGUGUUGCCCCCACUUGGACAAAAUGGAUGCGACGAGUACAAGGCCUCGCGUCAGUUUUGUCCAUGCGGGGGAGUUCUUUAGCAACGUUGGA